UUAAUGAGUUUUAGAUAAUUUUAGUUGUAUUUCUUUGUAAUUUUGUGUUGUACAAAGAUUAAUUUAACAUUUUCUCUGGAAGUAUUAAUUUAGAAAGAUAAUAUGCUUCAUUGGUGUUGUGUUUUGAAGUGUGAAAUGCAAAGUAAUUGUGAUAGAAGUCAAGAUAAAGUUCACUUUUAAACUGAACUAAAUAAGGUAUCUGAGAGACAACAAUGGUUAAAUGCAAUACAAUGUACAGGUUUUACUAGCGAAAUGAAAAUUUUCCUGUCCUGUCUGCUGUAAUCAUUUUAUAUCUGGAAAACCAGCCGACUUAAUCGAUAAUAACAAUCUCCAGAUUGGGUUCCUUCAAUAAAUAUGGGCUAUAAACACAAUGAAAUAAGUUCCCCAAAAUCUAAAAUGGAGUGGUAUCAAAGGAGAAUUAAAGGAAAAAAUAUUCAUUUUUAAAUUAUUUAUAAGGCACUGGACUGUCUUAAAUUCUACAAUAAUACUAGAAUCAGCUGAGAGAAGUGGUCUACAAAAAACCAGGAAGGAAACGGAAUAUGUGGCUACGAAAGGCAAAAGAAAGGUUUACAAAGCAAAUGUGACACAUUUUUUUGAAAUAUUUAGGAAUAUCAGUAAAUUGCAUUAAAAAAAUGUAUGAAAAGAUUUUGUUCAAUAAAAAUGUUUAUAUUUAUCACGGAUGUAUUAUUUGGUAUGGCCACAUAUCGUCAGUGAUGUAAUAAUACAUCCUAUCUGUUUUUUCAUGAGUUUUGUAAGAGAGACUAAAAACUUGUCUUAGGGUCACCUCCUGUUUUCAUAUGAUAUUUUUUGACUUGUUUUGUAGUAAAUUAAACUAUCUAUGAACUACAAAACAAGU